UGAACGCUGGCGGCAGGCCUAACACAUGCAAGUCGAACGGUAACAGGAAGCAGCUUGCUGCUUUGCUGACGAGUGGCGGACGGGUGAGUAAUGUCUGGGAAACUGCCCGAUGGAGGGGGAUAACUACUGGAAACGGUAGCUAAUACCGCAUAACGUCGCAAGACCAAAGAGGGGGACCUUCGGGCCUCUUGCCAUCGGAUGUGCCCAGAUGGGAUUAGCUAGUAGGUGGGGUAACGGCUCACCUAGGCGACGAUCCCUAGCUGGUCUGAGAGGAUGACCAGCCACACUGGAACUGAGACACGGUCCAGACUCCUACGGGAGGCAGCAGUGGGGAAUAUUGCACAAUGGGCGCAAGCCUGAUGCAGCCAUGCCGCGUGUAUGAAGAAGGCCUUCGGGUUGUAAAGUACUUUCAGCGGGGAGGAAGGGAGUAAAGUUAAUACCUUUGCUCAUUGACGUUACCCGCAGAAGAAGCACCGGCUAACUCCGUGCCAGCAGCCGCGGUAAUACGGAGGGCGCAAGCGUUAAUCGGAAUUACUGGGCGUAAAGCGCACGCAGGCGGUUUGUUAAGUCAGAUGUGAAAUCCCCGGGCUCAACCUGGGAACUGCAUCUGAUACUGGCAAGCUUGAGUCUCGUAGAGGGGGGUAGAAUUCCAGGUGUAGCGGUGAAAUGCGUAGAGAUCUGGAGGAAUACCGGUGGCGAAGGCGGCCCCCUGGACGAAGACUGACGCUCAGGUGCGAAAGCGUGGGGAGCAAACAGGAUUAGAUACCCUGGUAGUCCACGCCGUAAACGAUGUCGACUUGGAGGUUGUGCCCUUGAGGCGUGGCUUCCGGAGCUAACGCGUUAAGUCGACCGCCUGGGGAGUACGGCCGCAAGGUUAAAACUCAAAUGAAUUGACGGGGGCCCGCACAAGCGGUGGAGCAUGUGGUUUAAUUCGAUGCAACGCGAAGAACCUUACCUGGUCUUGACAUCCACGGAAGUUUUCAGAGAUGAGAAUGUGCCUUCGGGAACCGUGAGACAGGUGCUGCAUGGCUGUCGUCAGCUCGUGUUGUGAAAUGUUGGGUUAAGUCCCGCAACGAGCGCAACCCUUAUCCUUUGUUGCCAGCGGUCCGGCCGGGAACUCAAAGGAGACUGCCAGUGAUAAACUGGAGGAAGGUGGGGAUGACGUCAAGUCAUCAUGGCCCUUACGACCAGGGCUACACACGUGCUACAAUGGCGCAUACAAAGAGAAGCGACCUCGCGAGAGCAAGCGGACCUCAUAAAGUGCGUCGUAGUCCGGAUUGGAGUCUGCAACUCGACUCCAUGAAGUCGGAAUCGCUAGUAAUCGUGGAUCAGAAUGCCACGGUGAAUACGUUCCCGGGCCUUGUACACACCGCCCGUCACACCAUGGGAGUGGGUUGCAAAAGAAGUAGGUAGCUUAACCUUCGGGAGGGCGCUUACCACUUUGUGAUUCAUGACUGG
rnacentral:rRNA from 1 species